GUAGUCUCGCACAGAUGCAUAUCAAUAAGCGGAGGAAAAGAAACUAACAAGGAUCCCCCUAGUAACGGCGAGUGAAGCGGGAAGAGCUCAAAUUUGAGAUCUUAAAGGGUCUCCCUUUACGAAUUGUAGUUUAAAGAAGUGUUUUCUGUUGAGGUUUUGGUAAAAGUUCUUUGGAAUAGGACAUCAUAGAGGGUGAGAAUCCCGUAUUUGACCUUUACUUUCAACCUUGUGAUACACUUUCAAAGAGUCGGAUUGUUUGGGAAUGCAGUCCAAAAUGGGUGGUAAAUUUCAUCUAAAGCUAAAUAUUGGCGAGAGACCGAUAGCGAACAAGUACCGUGAGGGAAAGAUGAAAAGAACUUUGAAAAGAGAGUUAAACAGUACGUGAAAUUGUCAAAAGGGAAGCGUUUGACACCAGUGUUGUUUUUCUGAAAAUCAAUUAAGGAACUGUUUAUGCUAAGCUGUUUAGACUUUAUCAGCUAUCUGUUUAGUUUUGAGCUUUUCUUUAAUGCACUUUUCAGUUAACAAGUCAACAUCAAUUUCUUUUGCUGUAAAAAAGCUUGAGGAAGGUGGCUUGAGAUUCGUCUUAAGUGUUUAUAGCCUCUUGCCUAUGCAGUCGGAGAGAUUGAGGUCUGCAGCGUAGAUCCUUCGGGGCUAAAUGCAUUUGUGCUAAGUUAUAGCAUUUUAUAGACAACUUGUUGACUAUGAUUUGUCUUGUAGCUUACUCGCUUAUGUUAUUUUACCUACGCUUAGGAUGUUGACAGCAGUAUAGACUG
rnacentral:rRNA from 1 species